rnacentral:pre_miRNA from 1 species
AAUAGAAUUGCUGGAUUGCAUGGUAAGUUUAUGUUUAACUUUUUAAGAAACUGACAAACUGUUUUUCAAAGUGGCUGUACCAUUUUACAUUCCCACCAGCAAU